rnacentral:rRNA from 1 species
AGAGUUUGAUCCUGGCUCAGGAUGAACGCUGGCGGCGUGCCUAAUACAUGCAAGUCGAGCGAACCACUUCGGUGGGAAGCGGCGAACGGGUGAGUAACACGUAGGUGAUCUGCCCAUCAGACGGGGACAACGAUUGGAAACGAUCGCUAAUACCGGAUAGGACGAAAGUUUAAAGAUGCUCCUGGCAUCACUGAUGGAUGAGCCUGCGGCGCAUUAGCUAGUUGGUGGGGUAAAGGCCUACCAAGGCGACGAUGCGUAGCCGACCUGAGAGGGUGAACGGCCACACUGGGACUGAGACACGGCCCAGACUCCUACGGGAGGCAGCAGUAGGGAAUCUUCGGCAAUGGGCGAAAGCCUGACCGAGCAACGCCGCGUGAAUGAAGAAGGCCUUCGGGUUGUAAAAUUCUGUUAUAAGGGAAGAAAGGUGAUAGGAGGAAAUGACUAUCAAUUGACGGUACCUUAUGAGAAAGCCACGGCUAACUACGUGCCAGCAGCCGCGGUAAUACGUAGGUGGCAAGCGUUAUCCGGAAUU